rnacentral:rRNA from 1 species
UACGGAGGAUCCAAGCGUUAUCCGGAUUUAUUGGGUUUAAAGGGUGCGUAGGCGGCCUAUUAAGUCAGGGGUGAAAGACGGUAGCUUAACUAUCGCGGUGCCCUUGAUACUGAUGGGCUUGAAUAUACUUGAGGUAGGCGGAAUGUGACAAGUAGCGGUGAAAUGCAUAGAUAUGUCACAGAACACCAAUUGCGAAGGCAGCUUACUAAGGUAUGAUUGACGCUGAGGCACGAAAGCGUGGGGAUCAAACAGG